rnacentral:lncRNA from 1 species
CUAUAGUCAUCAGGAUGGUCCCUGUAUUAUAAAGAACCUGCCCUCUUCCAUUCAUUUAUGUAAAAAAAUAUUGAGCAUCUUCUCUGUGUCUUGUUCUGUAGGAGCUAAAAGCAUGAAUUAAACCCAGACCCUGCCCUCAAGGAACUUCAAGUCUAAUAGCAGAGGUGGACCAGUGCAUACCACUCAUACCCCUGGAAGACCAAGAAAAAGGAAGGAGAAAAAGAAUAGAAUGAGGAAGAGACGGAAGAAAGUGCCCUACCCAAGGUGCAUGAAGACACAGGUCAGCAUGUCAAGCACGGUAUAAAGAAUAAAAAGGAAGAACUUCUCUGAUUGGAAGUCCAAGAAAUUCUACUUUGAAGAAAGGUAUCAGGAGGGGUGUUAGAAGU